rnacentral:lncRNA from 1 species
AUUAAGACAAGUAUAAGAUUAAGAUCUAAUAAGCAUGUCUUGUAACGGUCCUGAAAAUUUAAAAUGGAAUGUAUAUUAAAAAUAUCAAAUGCGGAAGCGAAGUCAAAAAUUCGAUUAACAUCCCUUACACUAAAACCAAAAACGUGCUCACAAUAUAAAAGAUCAAACUACCUAAAGGAAAGACUUGAAAGUAAAAGCUACGAAUAUGACUAUGGAGUCUUUAGGCGUCC